UUGAUUUAAAUGUACUAUUAAAAUUACUUGAUUUAGAAAAAUCCUCCCAUGUUAGAAAGAGUAAAGGAUCCAAACAGUUGUGUGUUUAAUGGUCCAACCAUGUCAACUGGACUGGCAGGCCAUUAUAUUGUUGG